UACGGGGGGAGCAAGCGUUGUUCGAAUUUACUGGGCGUAAAGGGCGCGUAGGCGGUCAGCACAAGUCAGUUGUGAAAUCUCCGGGCUUAACUCGGAAAGGUCAACUGAUACUGUGCGACUAGAGUGCGGAAGGGGCAACUGGAAUUCUCGGUGUAGCGGUGAAAUGCGUAGAUAUCGAGAGGAACACCUGCGGCGAAGGCGGGUUGCUGGGCCGACACUGACGCUGAUGCGCGAAAGCCAGGGGAGCGAACGGG
rnacentral:rRNA from 1 species